GCCGGGCACCCGGCGCUGUUCCUCAGGCCCGAGGGAUCCCGGGCAGCCGCGCGCUUGGGCCCGGGGCGGAGUGCUCGCGGGUGUGUCCAUCCGUCCAUCCGCCGCCCCCGCCCGCCCCCUGCGGUGGCUCCCUGCUUGCCCAGCUCGGCGGCCGCGCCCGGCAGAUGCGCGGUGCUUGGUCCCGGCCUCCUGCGCCCCGGGCCUCCCGGCCCCGCCGGCCCCGGGCUGGCGGACGGGACCGAGGCGAGCUCCCCGGCCGCGCUCAACACCUGAGGAAACUGGCGGAAAAGUUUGAGAACGAAAAGUCCAAUCGUCUUUCAGCUUCCGCCCUCCCUAUGACACUUCAGCCACGGACUGCUCCAGUACUCAAGUCUGAGAUGCUGACUCUGAUGCAUAUCAUUAAAGAAUCAAAGUUUAGUGAAGAGCUUCCACCCACUCCAGACUCCUUUCCACAACCUCUUCCUGGAGUGGGCAUCUCCUACCUUUAUAGGACAAUGUACCACAUUGAAAAAUUUUGCCUUUUCCCCAGCAAGCCACUCCACAGGCUGUCAGACCUGCCUGUUCCUGACAAGGGCUGUUCUUGUCAUGGGCGGACCUCAGUUUCAGGGGGACGGCGAUGAGGCUGGAGCUCAGAGGGAUGGAGAAGCCUCUGAAGCUGCAACAGCAGGAGCAGAAGGCACAGCCGCAGGGCCCUCCGGAAAGAACAGAGAAGAGAAGUGGAAGCUGCACACCUGAGCCAGGAUGUUCUCUGUGAUGUCAGGUGAGCUGUGCCUCCCCCUCCAACCUACCCAGCACAGACACGCUGGAAAGUGGCUUUUCAAAUGCCUUUGACUCUUAUCUCUCUUACAUCACCCUCUGAAAUGAAAUCUCAAACACUUUAGUGGGGUUUGAUGCGGAGAACAGUAAGCAGAUGGAGGUUCAGGCAGAAACAGAACAGGAGUCAAAAGCCCUGGAGAAAAGCAUGAAUGGGCUUGGAGAGGACAAAUAAAAUAGCAGAGACAUUUAUACGGGUCUCCCCUACCUCUCAGAACAAAACAAUUAUGAGAUGAGAGAGGCAUGGAUGGGAGGAAAUUCUUUCAUUUUUCACGUUGCAGGGUAGAGAGAUCCAAUAGCCUGUUUAUGAAGAACAAUAAAGAAGAUACAUGAACUCAGUAAAGAGGUUGUUACAAAUAUAUCG
rnacentral:lncRNA from 1 species